rnacentral:rRNA from 1 species
GACGAACGCUGGCGGCGUGCCUAAUACAUGCAAGUAGGACGCAGUUGCGAACGGGUGAGUAACGCGUAGGUAACUGCCUCUUAGAGGGGGAUAACUAUUGGAAACGAUAGCUAAUACCGCAUACUAGUAGAUGGACCUGCGUUGUAUUAGCUAGUAGGUAGGGUCAGGGCCUACCUCGGCGACGAUACAUAGCCCACUUGGAAGGGUGAUAGGACACUAUGGAACGGAGACACGGACCAGACGCCUCCGUGAAGAAGCAGGAGGGCAUCUUCGGAAAUGGGGGGAACCAUGAUCGAGCAACGCCGGGUGAGUGGAUAAGGAUUUCGGGUGGUAAAGCUCUGUUGCUAAGGAAGCGGUACUCAACCAGAACGGGAAGGAUAACUACGUGCCAGCAGCCGCGGUAAUAC